AACGAACGCUGGCGGCAGGCUUAACACAUGCAAGUCGAGCGCAUCCUUCGGGGUGAGCGGCAGACGGGUGAGUAACGCGUGGGAAUCUACCUUUUGCUACGGAAUAGCUCCGGGAAACUGGAAUUAAUACCGCAUGUGCCCUUAGGGGGAAAGAUCUAUCGGCAAGAGAUGAGCCCGCGUUGGAUUAGCUAGUUGGUGGGGUAAAGGCCUGCCAAGGCGACGAUCCAUAGCUGGUCUGAGAGGAUGACCAGCCACAUUGGGGCUGAGACACGGCCCAAACUCCUACGGGGAGCAGCAGUGGGGAAUAUUGGAGGAGGGGCGCAAGCCUGAUCCAGCCAUGCCGCGUGAGUGAUGAAGGCCUUAGGGUUGUAAAGCUCUUUCACAGGAGAAGAUAAUGACGGUAUCCGGAGAAGAAGCCCCGGCUAACUUCGUG
rnacentral:rRNA from 1 species